CAGUAGCCACGGGAAUACGUAGGGCGCAAGCGUUGUCCGGAAUUAUUGGGCGUAGAGCUCGUAGGCGGUCUGUCGCGUCUGGUGUGAAAUCCCGAGGCUCAACCUCGGGCUUGCAUCGGGUACGGGCAGACUAGAGUGCGGUAGGGGAGACUGGAAUUCCUGGUGUAGCGGUGGAAUGCGCAGAUAUCAGGAGGAACACCGAUGGCGAAGGCAGGUCUCUGGGCCGCAACUGACGCUGAGGAGCGAAAGCAUGGGGAGCGAACAGGAUUAGAUACCCGCGUAGUCCCUGUCUCUUAUACAC
rnacentral:rRNA from 1 species